ACCCUCCAGAUUUCUUACCCCUCAGAUCUAAAUAUUGGUCUGAGUGGAUAAAAAAAAGGAGGGAAAGUAAACUAAAAGAUAGAUAGAUAGAUAGAUAGCAUUCUUUAAUCUAUAAUGG
rnacentral:snoRNA from 1 species